CAGUAGCCACGGUAAUACGAAGGGGGCUAGCGUUGUUCGGAAUUACUGGGCGUAAAGCGCACGUAGGCGGAUAUUUAAGUCAGGGGUGAAAUCCCAGAGCUCAACUCUGGAACUGCCUUUGAUACUGGGUAUCUUGAGUAUGGAAGAGGUGAGUGGAAUUCCGAGUGUAGAGGUGAAAUUCGUAGAUAUUCGGAGGAACACCAGUGGCGAAGGCGGCUCACUGGUCCAUUACUGACGCUGAGGUGCGAAAGCGUGGGGAGCAAACAGGAUUAGAUACCCCUGUAGUCCCUGUCUCUUAUAC
rnacentral:rRNA from 1 species